rnacentral:rRNA from 1 species
AUUGAACGCUGGCGGCAGGCCUAACACAUGCAAGUCGAGCGCGCGGCGGACGGGUGAGUAAUGUAUGGGGACUGCCCGAUAGAGGGGGAUAACUACUGGAAACGGUAGCUAAUACCGCAUACUAUCGGAUAACCACUAUGGGAUUAUCUAGUAGGUUAGGUAAUGGCUCACCUAGGCGACGAUAACUAGCUGGUCUGAGAGGAUGAUCAGCCACACUGGUACUGAGACACGGUCCAGACUCCUACGGAGUCAGCAUUGGGGAAUAUUGCACAAUGUGCGCAAGCCUGAUUCAGCCAUGCCGCGUGUAUGAAGAAGGCCCUAGUGUUGUAAAGUACUUUCAGUCGGGAGGCUUUACCGACAGAAGAAGCACCGGCUAACUCCGUGCCAGCAGCCGAGGUAAUUC